rnacentral:rRNA from 1 species
CCUACGGGGCGCAGCAGUGAGGAAUAUUGGUCAAUGGACGAGAGUCUGAACCAGCCAAGUAGCGUGAAGGAUGACUGCCCUAUGGGUUGUAAACUUCUUUUAUAAAGGAAUAAAACGAGGCACGUGUGCCUUUUUGCAUGUACUUUAUGAAUAAGGAUCGGCUAACUCCGUGCCAGCAGCCGCGGUAAUACGGAGGAUCCGAGCGUUAUCCGGAUUUAUUGGGUUUAAAGGGAGCGUAGAUGGGUUGUUAAGUCAGUUGUGAAAGUUUGCGGCUCAACCGUAAAAUUGCAAUUGAUACUGGCAGUCGUGAGUACAGUUGAGGUAGGCGGAAUUCGUGGUGUAGCGGUGAAAUGCUUAGAUAUCACGAAGAACCCCGAUUGCGAAGGCAGCUUACUAAACUGUGACUGACAUUGAUGCUCGAAAGUGUGGGUAUCAAACAGGAUUAGAUACCCUAGUAGUC